UACGGAGGGUCCAAGCGUUAUCCGGAUUUAUUGGGUUUAAAGGGUUCGCAGGCGGGAAAUUAAGUCAGUGGUGAAAGCCUACAGCUCAACUGUAGAACUGCCAUUGAAACUGAUUUUCUUGAAUAUGAUUGAAGUUGGCGGAAUGUGUCAUGUAGCGGUGAAAUGCAUAGAUAUGACACAGAACACCGAUAGCGAAGGCAGCUAACUAAGUCAUUAUUGACGCUCAUGAACGAAAGCGUGGGGAGCGAACAGG
rnacentral:rRNA from 1 species